GUGAUUCUUUGUUUUGAAUUAGUUUUUAGUGGGCAUGAAAGGCAAGGAUGAAGCCAUGGCCAUUGGUGGGCACUGGUCUCCUUCGUUGGAUGGACCAGACCCUGAAAAAGAUCCCUCCGUGUUGAUUAAGACUGCUAUUCGUUGUUGUAAGGCUCUGACAGGCAUUGAUCUAAGUGUUUGCACACAAUGGUAAGUAUCAAUUCAUUUCUUGAUUAGAAAUAUUUAAUAGAUUUGUAGAUGUUCUUAUCGAUCAGCCUUUUCCCCUUAUUUUAGCAACACUUGUCAUGCAGGUAAUCUCAAAGGAAAAAUCCCCAUUUGUAGCAAAAGUUUAUUUGGUGCCAAAAAUGUUUUUUGGAAAAAGGAUUAAGAACUAAUCAAAAUAUACUGAAAAUUUAAAUGUUUUGUUAUGCUGUACUUUGGAAGUUUGGUUGUAUGUUGAAAAUACUUUUCAUUUCAUGUAUAGCUGGAGAAGAUCGUCAAGAGAGAACUUCAUUUCAUUAUAAUUCUUUUGUUAUUAAAUGAUGUAGUUGCUGAUUAUUUUUGUUCAGCCAUAUUUUCUCUUGAGGCUUAUUUGUCCUAUGUAUUUUAGUAUAUUUCUUGUGACUUAAUUGAGAAUAUUCUUUUUUAGCACAUGAAAUCUGAACAGCUAUCCAGCUUCUUCAGGUAUUAUCUAAAAUAUGGGUAGCUUUGUAAUCAAACUUGAAAAUGUGUUGUGGGAACUUAUUCUUUUAUUCAAUAAAAUAUUGUACAAAUGUACCAAAAGAGGAACUAUGGCUUCUAUAAUUUUUUUUUCUUUAGACCAACCUCAAGUUCUUGCAGCAAAAUUUCUUUACUUGAUGUGCUACAAGUGAACUAGGGUCUUUAAAAUGUAUUUUAGAAUUUUUUUUCCAACAUGCUUCUUCCCUUGCAACAGGUACCGUUUUGCAGAGAUUCGCUACCAUCGCCCUGAGGAGACCCACAAGGGGCGUACAGUUCCAGCUCAUGUGGAGACAGUGGUUUUAUUUUUCCCGGAUGUUUGGCAUUGCCUUCCCACCCGCUCAGAGUGGGAAACCCUCUCCCGAGGAUACAAGCAGCAGCUGGUCGAGAAGCUUCAGGGUGAACGCAAGGAGGCUGAUGGAGAACAGGCACUGAACGCUAAUCCCUUUUUCUAUUUCCGCUUCUCACAGGCACAGGAACACAGGCACAAAUGCACACCACACACUACAUAACAAACACACAUGGAGGAACAUAAGUGGUAACAGCGACUGGUAAUCCAGCUUUCAGCAGUAUAGUUGAAUGUUCUUUUCUCUUAAAAAUUCUGUCUAUUAUGCUAACGUUGAGAGUGUUGAGACCUCAAAGGAAAAUAAGUUGUGCUUAAAUUGCACAGAAUUUUGUUUCUAUCAUAGAUCUAGUUGCUGGAAUCUGGGACCAGUUGUUGAGCAAGAUUAAGUAUUAAGCCAUUUUAAACAUUUUGCCAUUUUCUAAAAUUUAAAAGAUUUUCUCUUUCAUGGUCAUCAGUUCUAGUCAUGGAUAUUUGAAAUUGGACAACCACAAGUCUGAGAGAUUUGAAAUUUCAGGCUAUGUGGCAACGUCUUUGGUACAUUUCAAAGGUCUGACUAAAUCAGUCUUUGGGUGGCUUGAAAAUUGGGGCAAGAUCACACACUGUGUGGUUAGUGGAGACCGGCAGUGUUUGUGCAUCCCUGAUAUCCUUUGUGUUGUAAUUUAUCACCCUUUUGUGUUUCACAGAUCUGGCUUUGAUUGGCUGAUGAGUGUCUUUGUGAUCAGUUAAAAAUGAUAGAAUGUAUGUACGUGGACUUGCCUAAAUAAUAACUUUAGGAGAAGACAAUCUGAAACAUUUGUGACCUUGCACAGAUCAGCAACAGACUUUUAAAAGUGAAUUAAAUUUAUUUUAAGGUUUCAAAAUAGUAAUUAUGUUCUUAACUUUGUAUAUUAGGAUGAAGAAGAAAAGGAUGAUGGUGAAGCUAAAGAAAUUUCCACUCCUACCCAUUGGUCUAAACUUGAUCCAAAGACAAUGAAGGUAACUUUGAAAAUUAUGGUUUUUAAUUUGAAAUCUCUUUAACAGGAAUACAUAACAUUGGUGAGAAUGAUGGUAGUAUGUUUUUCAAAUAAAAACCAUUCAAAAUGAAGUCUGUCUUGGCACCAUUUGGAAUCCCAGGUUCUUUGGAGGCUGAGGCAAAUUUGAGGCCAGCCCAGGUAAUUUAGCAAGACCCUUCCUCAAAUAAAUAACAAGGGCUGGAGAUUUAGCUCAGUGGGGUAAAGUCCACUUUUUUUUUUUUGGAGUUUGUCCCAGGCCCUUGUGUGCUAUACAACCACUGUACCUCUGAGCUACAUCCCCAGCCCUUUUUAUUUUAUUCUGAGACAGGAUCAUGCUACAUUGUCCAGCCUGGCCUCGAACUUGUGAUCCUCCUGCCUCACCCUGCGCCAUCAGGUCUGGCUGUUCACUGAUUUUAUAUAACUAUAAUAUAUUGCAUUUACCUGUGAAUAUAUACAUACAUGUAUAAAUUAAAAAGUGAUGUUAAAUAUCAGUCUAGCUAGUACCUGUAAAAUGCUUGCAAUUUCAAAGUACCUGUAAUAUCAGGAAUAUUGUUUUCUGGUUCAGUAAUUGACCAAGAAGGCAGAAUUUAUCACUGGGCACAGUGGCACAUGGCCUGUGUAAUCCCUGUGGCUUGGUAGGCUGAGGUAGGAGGAGCACAAAUUCAAAGCCAGCCUAAGCAACUUAGUGAGACCCUGUCUCAAAAUAAAAUAUAAAAAGGGUUAGAGAUGUGGUUCAGUGGUUAAGUACCUCUGGAUUCAAACCCUGGUACCAAAAAAAAAAAAAAAAAGGAGGUGGGAGGCGCCAGAAUUCUUACACUUAUGGGGCUGGAGUUGUGACUCAGUGGUAAAGCACUUGCCUUGCAUGUGUGAAGCACUGGGUUCAAUGUUUAACACCACAUAAAAAGAAAUAAACAAAAUAAAGGUAUUGUAUCCAUCUACAACUAAAAAAUAAAAAUUUAAAAAAGAAUAUUAAAAGAAAUAAUUUCUAAACUUACGUAACUUAAAUUCAGGGGUCAGAAAAGAAACAGGAAAAAGAUGAACUUGUUUUAAAAAUAAAUUUAAGAGUAAAAUGUAGAAUGUAUGCCUCUAAACUGGGAAGGAAAUAAUUUAAUAAUUUCUUUGAAAAUAAGUGGUUAACCUGCGUUAGUUUUUUCUUCUGGGUGUCUCUAGCCCAGUUAUCUUAGUAUUCUUUCUGCUGUUUUGUAUUUCCGAACUAUAGUCUAUGGUCAAGAUAGAGACUGAUCUUUACUUCGCCUUUUACAGUUUGUUUUUAGCAAAUGCCUUCUAGUUGACUUUUGCUCUUAGCACAAAACAAUUUUUCUACUUAGUUAGGAACAAUUUCUUUCUGGAUUUUUGUUGUUUUGUGUUUGUGGGGUUUUGGGGGGUUGGGGGGAGACUGAUUUUUUUUUUUUUUCUUUUAGUACAUAGGAUUGAACCCUGGACUACUCUAUCACCACAUUAUAUCCCCAGCACUAAUUUCAUUUUAUUUUGUUGUUUGGGUUUUUAAGAGUUAUAACACAUCUCACUUAGUGUUGAAUUUGGCCUUGACUUGUGAACCUGUUAUCUCAGCCUCCUAAGUCCUAAGUAGCUGAGGUUACAGGACCUAGCAAGGCUUGAACCUUGACUUUAAACUCAUUGGUUUUUAGUAUGUAGACAUUGUAUGUCAUAAGAAUGUUAUUUGUUGAGAGCCACAGUUUAGUCAGAAUGAUGCCUGGCAUUUUUGCCAGAGGGAAUGGUUGAAAGAUGACCCUGCCCCGGAUUAGGGCAGAUCCUGCUGGGAAUAGGGCAGCUCCAGGAUUAGGGCAGAUCCUCCUGGGAUUAGGGCGGAUCCUGGUGCCUUGGGCACUACUUUGGAGUUCCCAUUGAGUUCUCUUGGGGUUCUCAGAGAAUUGGCGCGCAGAGCAGUGUGUUCCCGGGAAGUGUGUGUAGAGUGCAGGUGAGAGUUCGGGAAUAAAGGUUGCUGUUUGAACCUACAAGGCUGUGUGCCCAGCCAGACUGCGGCAGUUAUUCUUUAAUUGCUUCCAAGUUGUCAUCGUCAAUAUCAGGUUCAUAUAGGGUACUCAAAAGAUUAUGAAAACAUUGACAAUAAGACUAAGACUAUACCCAACACUUUUUAAUUUAAACUUGAUUGUUUUGAUGUUAAGUUCUAUAUUUUAUUUUUAUUUAUUUAUUUUUUUGGUACUGAGAAUUGAACCCAGGGCCACUUUACCACUGAACUACAUUCCAUAGUCCUUUUUAAUUUUUUAUUUUCAAAUAGUCUUGAUAAGUUGUAUAGGGUCUUGCUAAGUUGCCUAGGGGUGCCUUGCCUCGACCUUGGGUUCCUCUUACCUCAUUCUCCCAUGGAGCUAGCAUUAUAGGUGUGUGCCACCACAUCCAGAUUCUGUUUUCUUUUUUGUAGGAUAUAAGUAAUGUAUUUAGUUGGUUGGUUGGCUCAAAUCAAGUUGUAUUUAAAAGUUGCAUUUUAAUCAUUUUCAUUUAACAUCUUUUUUUCUCAUGUAAUUGUUUUUCAAUUUUACAUUAUAUGUGGUUUAUGUAUUAAUACUUCUUAGAUAUUGCUUUUUAUUGAAUGUGCAGAUUCUUUACUUUUUUGAAGUGAAGGACUGUUGUAAGUAAAUCUAACAAGGUAUGCUGGUGCAACUCUGUAAUCCCAGUGACUUGGGAAACUCUGCAGCAGAAGGAUUACAAAUUCUAGUCCAGCCUCUGAAACUAAGUGAGACCCUAUCUCAAAAUAAUGUGAAAAAAGGGCUUACCUAAUACCCAAAAAGGUCCUGUGUUCAAUUCCUAGUAUUUCCAAAAAAAGGUUAAUAAUUAGUAAAUCUGUUUUUCUCCCUGAGUUCAGGAUAUUUCAUACACACACACACACACACACACACACAUAAUUUUAAUAGUUUUAUUUACUUUUGGGGGCGAGUACUAGGGAUUGAACCCAGGCACUCUAGUAACUGAGCUAUAUUCCCAGCCCCUCAUUUAUUUAUCUUUAUGUCAGCUGAGGAUCAAACCCAGUGCCUCACACAUGCUAGGCAGGCCCUGUACCACUGAGCCAUGAUCCCAGCCCCCCAGGAUAUUUCUUUAGGUAAAUUCCCAGAAAUUAGAAUUACUGGGUCAAGGGUUAGGGGGAUACAUCAGUGGCAGACCACCUGCCUAGCAUGUGCAAGGUUUUGGGUUCAACCUCUAGUACCAUUAAAAAAAAAAGAAAAGAAGAAAAAAGGAACAGUAAAAGGACUUUGAAUCAUCUUAAAAUGUUUUGAAUUAUUUUCCAAAAUAUUCUAUACAUAUCACCUGUGUGGUUUUUUUUUUUUUUUGGAUACCCAGAAUUGCACUCAGGAGUACCUAGCCACUGAGCCAUAUCCCCAGUCUUUUUUUUACCGUUUUAUUUAUUUUUUAUUUUUUGGUACUGGGUAUUGAACUCAGGGGGCACUUAACCACUGAUCCACAUGUCCAGCCCUAUUUUGUAUUUUAGUUAGAGAAAGGGUUGCACUGAGUUUGCCUAGCGCCUCAGUUUUUCAGAGACUGGCUUUGAACUCACGAUCCUCCUGCCUCAGGCUCUGGAAUUAAAGGUGUGCACCAUGUUGCCAGGCACCUUUUUAUUUAUUUUGAGACUAAGUUGCUCAGGGCCUUGCUAAAUUGCUAAGUUGGUCAGGGCCUUGCUAAAUUGUUUACUAAGGCUGUCCUUGAACUUGAGAUCCUCUUGCCUCAGCCUCCCAAGAGGAUUAUAGGCAUGCACCAGCACGUCUGUCUUUUUUCAUAAAAUUUUUUUUUUUUAAAUCAGGUAAAAGUAUAUAGUUUGUUUACAUCUCAUUUUCUUUUUCUAUGUUUUUAUGUUGCAUACAUUUAGGUAAAUGAUCUCCGAAAAGAAUUAGAAAGUCGAGCCCUUAGUUCCAAAGGAUUAAAAUCCCAGUUAAUAGCUCGAUUGACAAAACAACUUAAAGUAGAAGAACAAAAAGAAGAACAGAAGGAAUUAGAGAAAUCUGAAAAAGAAGAGGAAGAAGAGGAUGAUAGGAAAUCUGAAGAUGAUAAGGAGGUAUUUAUUCAGCAUUUGAAUAUAGUUGUAUUGGUAUUUCUCUUAGUAUGUUGGGUGUUCGUGGAAUAUAUGACUUCACUUUGUGUGUGUGUGUGUGUAUUGUUUUAUUAAGGUAUGUAAGGUAAAAGUAGAAUUUUUUCCCACAGUUGCUUUACCACUGAGCUAAAUCCCACAAUUCUUUUUAUUUUUAUUUUAUUUUAUUUUUUUAAGUUUCAUUUAAAAUUUUUUUUUUUUUAAGUUAUCUAUGGACUUAAUGCCUUUAUUUGUUUUUAUGUGGUGCUAGGAUCAAACCCAGCGCCUCACACUUGGGAAGCAAUGCUCUACCACUAAGCUUACAACUCCAGCCCCCCUUUUUAUUUUUUGAGACCGGGUUUUUUCACUAAUGAGCUGAAGGUGUCCCUAAGUUGUUGAGGCUGACCUCGAACUUGUACUCCUGCCUCAGGCUUCUAUGUAGCUGGGAUUACAGGCAUGUGCCACUGCACCUAUCUAAAAAUUCAUACCUGUAAUGAAUAGUUCUGCAAUUUUUUAAAAUUAUUCUAAUUAGUUAUACAUGACAGUAGAAUGCAUUUUUUUAAAAAAUAUUUUUUAGUUAUAGUUGGGCAUAGUACCUUUAAUUUUUAUUUGUUUAUUUUUAUGUGAUGCUGAGGAUCGAACCUAGCUCCUCGCAUGUGCUAGGCGAUCGCUCUACCGCUGAGCCACAACCACAGCCCCUAGAAUGCAUUUUGACAUAUGAUACAUAUAUGGAGUAUAACUUCUCAUUCUUGUUGUACAUGGUAUAGAAUCAUACCAAUCAUUUAAUCAUAUGUACAUUCGGUAAUAAUGUCCGAUUCAUUGAACUAUCCUUCCUACUUCUAUACCCUGUCUCCUCUCUUCACUCCCCUCUGCCUAUCCAAAGCUGUUCUUCCCUAACCCCCUGCCCUCAUUGUGAAUUAGUAUCCACUUAUCAGGAAAAAACAAAAACAAAAACAAAAACAUUCAGCUUGAGUUCCAAUGAAAUGCUCAUGCCCUAAUUGUGAUGCUUCUAAAGUAAUAUGUUUGAUUGGAUUCUACUCAAGAAUAGACAAAUUAUUCAAGCUAUUUUGUACCUCAGUUUUAUAUCUAAUACAUUUAUUCCUUAGUGCAUAAGCUUAUUGUGUUCUCUGAAUUUGAGAGCUAGUGUGUUUUAGCCCCAGUAAUUGGAUAAACCCUUAGGGUUUUUAAAUGUGAUGUAUUAUAAAAUACCCAUCCACAAUUCCUAAAGUAGUUCUUCGAGAAGUAUGUGACAUAGAUCAAAUUGUAAGGAAAACAAUUGGGUAAAUCUGAAAAGUGAAAAAAAUUUUAUAAAGCAAGUUGUGUGAACUUUUCAGAAUGUAUCCACAUUAAAGAAAGAAACUUAGGAGCUGUCUUAGAUUGAAGAAGGUUAGUGAAUGUGACUGGAUCUGGGCUAGGGAAAAAAUGUCAUUAAGAAUGGUAUAUGGGCUGGGGAUGUGGCUCAAUCGGUAGUAGCGCUCUCGCCUGGCAUGCGUGCAGCCCAGGUUCGAUCCUCAGCACCAUAUACAAACAAAGAUGUUGUGUCUGCCGAAAACUAAAAAAUAAAUAUUAAAAUUCUCUCUCUCUCUCUCAAAAAAAAAAAAAAGACUGGUAUAAUUGGAGCCAGGUGUGAUGGCACAUACCUGUAAUCCCAAUGGCUCAGGAGGCUAAGGCAGGAAUCAGAGUUCAAAGCCAGCCUCAGCAAAAAGUGAGGCGCUAAGCAGCUCAGUGAGAUCCCGUCUCUAAAUAAAAUACAAAAUAGGGCUGGAGAUGUGGCUCAGUGGUUGAGUGUCCCUGAGUUCAAUUCCCAGUACUGGGGGGAAAAAAAAGAACAGUAUAAUUGGAGAAAUUUGAUUGUAUAUGUAGUUGUUACAUUAGAUAUUAUUGAAGUUUUAUUAAAUUUUGUGGAUGUGAUAAUGGUUUUGUGAUUAUGUAGGAGAAUUACCUUUUUUUAGACAAUACAUGAACUUGUGAUUUCUUAUCAAUUGGCAGGUAAAGUACUUAUUUUGGUGAUAACAUUUUUUCAGAAUUGACCAGUGGGAACCCUUUUAAGUUAUAUGUCCUUUUGAUAUAUCCUCAUCAUUUUUUGAAGGAUUUCUUACUUUUUGGCCUGAUAGGAUGUUUCAGUCUUAUUGUGUACAUUUCUCACUUUUGGUCUUCAGUCUCUUAUGGUCAGGAACCCAAAGAACCUGGUGUGGUGGUACACACCUGUAAUCCUAUUUACUAGGGAGGCUAAGGCAGGAGAAUUAUAAAUUCAAGGUCAGCCUGUAUAACUUAGUGAGACUGUUUCAAAAUGAAAAAAAUAAUGGGCUAGGAAUAUUGGGUAGUAGAAUGCCCCUGGGUUCAAUCCCCAGUACAGCAAAAAAAAAAAAAAAAAAAAAAAGAUAUCCAAAAGAAAGAAUUCGGACCCACAAAAGCUACUACCCUUAGUAAAUUUGAACUGUUCUCUUUUUUUCAAUCCUUAUAGUUGUUUUGGUCACUCUAAAGAAUUUUAGGUAUUUUGCCGUUUUUCUUUAUAUGGUAUACAUUUUUUGAAUACAUACAUAUUGUACAUGAAGGUUUAAACCAUGAACUAAAAUUUCAAAAUCCAGGAGGAAGAAAGAAAACGUCAAGAGGAAAUGGAACGCCAGCGUCGGGAAAGAAGAUACAUUUUGCCUGAUGAACCAGCCAUCAUUGUGCAUCCAAAUUGGGCUGCAAAAAGUGGCAAGUUUGAUUGUAGCAUCAUGUCUUUGAGUGUCCUUUUGGACUACAGAUUAGAAGAUAAUAAAGAACAUUCAUUUGAGGUAAUGUUUUAUCUUUGAAUCAGGAUCCAGAUAAGGUCCACAUAUUGUGUGUCUCUUAAAUCUCUUUUUCUCCCAGUUGCUAAUUAGGAAAAUCAAUAGUUUAUUCUAUAAAGUUUCAUAUAAAUUACUUUUGUUGAUUUUUUUAAUCCUAUGGUAUAGUAAUACCACUGAAAUAUGCUUGUGUCCUCUGUAUUUUCUAUAAAUUGAUAGUUAGAUCUAAAUUCUUAAUCAAGUUGUGGGCUUUUUUUUUUUUCUUUUAAAAAAGAAAUUUGAACUUUUUGAAGAAUCUGUUGAAAUCCUGAAUAGCUUUAGAACUAUUUAGAUAAGCCCAUGCAUGGUGGUACAUACCUGUAAUCCCAGUAACUCAAGAGGAUUGUAAAUUCAAUGCCAACUUGGGUAAUUUAGCCCUGUCUCAGAAAGAUUAAAAAGGAGAGGACAUGUUGCUCAGUUGCAGAACAGCCCUGGGGUUUGGUCUCCAGUGCUAUAAAUAUUAAAUAAAUAAGUAUAUUUUAGUGUAUAAGUUGAUGAAUAUGUGGUAGCUCUUACCAUGGCUCUCUGCAUAAUAAUAAUAAUGGAUAUUCCAUACUCAGGGUUUUUAAUUGUUUUAAAUGCCUGAAAUGUUCUUCUAGAUAUCUUCAUAAUUCAUUUAUUCAUUGCCUUCUAGUCACUUUUUUGUCGGGUGGAGGGUACUGAAGGUUGAACCCAGGGGUGCUUAACCCACUGAGACACUUCCCCAACCCCUUUUGAAUUUUAUUAGAGACGGGAUCUUGCUGAGUUGCUGAGGCUGGCAUUGAAUUUGCAAUCCUCCUACCACAGCCUCCUAAACUAAUGGGAUUACAGGCCUGUGCCACCAUGCCCAGCUCUCUGGUCACUUUUUAAAUGUCAGAAAGAGACCUUGUCUAACUACUCUUUCUCACUUUCUUUUUAUAAAAUACAUGCUAGGCAAGUGCUUUACCACUGAGUUGCAUCCCAGUCCCUUUAUAUGCUUGUUUUUCUUGUAAUUUGAUAUUAAUUGGGUUAUUUCUUAUACUAGGUUUGUUACCUUUGUGCUGAAAUAAAAUUUUUUUUUUUCUUUUCACUGCUGUAUUCCCAGCCCAUGGUACAUAGUAGGCAUUUGAUUAAAAACUUAUUGACUGGGUCUGUAGUCAUAGCUUAGUAGCAGAGAGCUUACCUAGCAUGUGUGAGGCACUGGGUUUAAUCCUCAGCACUACAUAAAAAUAAAUAAAUUAGCUAAAGGUAUUGUGUCCAUCUACAACUAAAAAAUAUUAAAAAAAAAAAAGUAUUGACCAACCAAUGGAAAUAUAAACAAACCCUUAUAGAAUAAAUAAAGUAUUGUGAAGAUUAAUAGUUUCGUUAGGAGUAUAGAAUUCUUUUUUUCUUUUCAGAUUUUCUAUAGUAGAUUACUUAUUAUAGUAUUUGACUAAAACUGUACUAACCUAAUAUUUUAUAUCUUUGAAACAUUGUUUCAGCAUUUUGAGUCUUUGACAUCAAUUAUUAUAACUAUAUUCUAAAUGUACUUAAUAGAUUCAGCAAAUAUUUAUUAAAAUUACUAACUGCUAGAUUUAAUAUUUCUGUUGCAUUUGUGUUAAUUUUCAUAUCUUUUUAUAGGUUUCAUUGUUUGCAGAACUUUUCAAUGAAAUGCUUCAGAGAGAUUUUGGUGUCAGAAUAUACAAAUCAUUACUCUCUCUUCCUGAGAAAGAGGACAAAAAAGAAAAGGAUAAGAAAAGCAAAAAAGAUGAGAGAAAAGAUAAAAAAGAAGAAAGAGAUGACGAAAAUGAUGAGCCAAAACCCAAACGGAGAAAAUCAGGAGAUGAUAAAGAUAAAAAAGAAGAUAGAGAUGAAAGGAAGGUCUGUAAUUAUUUCCAUAAUUUCUUCUUUUAGAUUGUAACAAAUGAUGUUAUUUCCAUCAGAAUAUUAAAAUAUGAAGCCAAACUUAUACUUUAGAAAAUUUGUCUUUUAAUUAAGCCAAUUCCCCAAACUGCUGAGGGCCUUAAUAAGUUGCUAAAUUGGUCUCCAAUUUGAGAUUCUCCUUCCUCAGCCUCCUGAGUUGCUGGGACUAUAGGCAUGAGCCACCACUCCCAGCUAUUGUUACUCUUAAAUGUAUUACUUUAUGGAUGCUGUGGUUAUGGCUCAGUAGUAGAAUGCUUGCCUGGCAUGUGUGAGGCACCACAUAAAAAUAAUUAAUUAAAUAGAGAUAUGAUGUCCAUUAUACAACUAAAAUAAAAAAGCAUUCCUUUUUUAAGAAAUUUGUAGUUUGAAACUAUUUUAAGUAAAUACCUUUUUUUGGUGAUGCUGGGAUUAAAACCCAGCGCGUUGCACACAUGCUAGGCAAAUGCCCUACCUCAGCUACAUCCCCAGUCCUUUAAAUAAAUAAAUGUAAUGGACUUAAUGUUUUCUUAUUAAAUUUUAAAUUACAGAAAGAAGAUAAAAGGAAAGAUGAUUCUAAAGAUGAUGAUGAAACUGAAGAAGAUAAUAAUCAUGAUGAAUAUGACCCAAUGGAAGCAGAAGAAGCUGAGGAUGAAGAAGAUGGUAUGAUUCAAAUUUUCUUAUUACUGAUUAUGUUUGAAAAAACAUUUGUUUGCUGACUUUGUAUCAGUGAAAUCUAUGAUUUUAAUAUUUUUUAUUAGAAAGUUAAAAUAUUCUCUAAUGAAAAUAUAUUAAGUAAUUGUUGUUUACUAAUUUUUAGGUGAGAAGGCUAUAUUUUGGUGCUUUUGGUUUUUUAUUUUUUAUACUACUGGUAAUUGAACCCAAGGUCUACAAAAGCUCCACAAGUGCUCUAACCAUUGAACUGACAGGGUCUUGCUAAUUUUCACAGACUGGACUUGAACUUGAAAUCCUCCUGCCUCAGCCUCCCAAGUAGCUGGGAUUACAGGUGUACACAUAUGCCCAGCCAGAAUAUAUUCUUCGAAAAAUAAUUUGGUUUAUUUUUAUUUUUUAAGUGAAUACUAUCAUCAUGCAAUGAGUAUAUAUUUAUGGUUUAAAUACUAUUAAUAAUAAUUACCCAUGGUACCUAUUAACCUAUGUCUUAAAAACCAUGUAGGGGCGGGCUAAGGUUGUGGUAGAGCACCUGCAAGAAAGGGUCUUGCGGAGUUGCUUAGGGUCUUUCUAAGUCGCUGAGGCUGGGUUUUCAAUACACCUGCCUCAGCUUUUCAAGUUGCCGGGAUUACAGGCAUGUGCCACCAUGUCUGGCUGACACUCUAAAUACUUUCUAGUUGGGCUGGGGGUGUGGCUCAAGCGGUAGCGCGCUCGCCUGGCAUGCGUGCGGCCCGGGUUCGAUCCUCAGCACCACAUACAAACAAAGAUGUUGUGUCCGCCGAGAAUUAAAAUAAAUAAAUAAAUAUUUUAAAUAAAUAAAUAAAUAAAUACUUUCUAGUAAACAUUCUGAUCAGUAAUAGAUGUUGGCCAUAAAGUAUCUCUGUGUAAUGCCUUACCCAUAUCUCUUUAUGUUGAUGUGACUUGAGAAUUUUGUCUUUUUCUCAUAUCAGAAAACUAAAAACUUUUUUUUUUUAUUAACUGUAUCUAUGGAUGAUACUUCUUAUUAUUAAAGGUUAUUUUGGUUUGCAGCUUUUGGGUUUUUUGGUAGUGGGGAUUUAACCCAGGGGCGCUUUACCACUGGGCUACAUCCUCAGUCCUUUAUUAUAUAUAUGUAUUUUUUAUUAUGAGACAAAGUCUCAAAGUUCCUGAGGACCUUACUGAGUUGCCAGGGCUCACUGUGAACUUGAUAUCCUCCUAUCUCCACCUCCCCAGUUGCUGGGAUUGUGGGCAUGUGCCACCCUGACUGGAUCAUCACAUUUUCUUCUCAUGUCAUUUCAUUUUUCUUAUUGAUGAAAAUAUUCACAUAAAAUGUUGAGGGGGCUGGGAAUAUAGUUCAGUUGGUAGAGUGCUUGCCUCACAUGCACAAGGCUCUGGGUUCAAUCCCCAGCACCAAAAAAAUAAAUAAAAUGUUGAGAGAAUUGUACAGUGAACACCCAUAUGUCUUCCAAUUAGGAUUUAAUAUUCAUUAAUAUUUGACUUAUUUGUUUUGUCUUUUUUCUGAUCCAUUUGAAAGUAUGAAUUCUUCAACUUACUUGGGAGGCUGUGGAAGGAGGAUCACAAGUUUGAGGCUAGCAUUAGCAAGUUAGUCCCUAAAACUUAAUGAAACCUUUUCGCAAAAUAAAAAACAUAAAGGAGAUGUAGCUCCAUUGUAAUGUGCUCCUGGGUUCAGUUCCCAGUACCAAGAAAAAAAAAAGCUUAGGAAAGAAAGGACAUACUUAAUCCCACAAUCAUACCUUUAUUAUGCAAUAAUGCCUUAAUAACACUUAAUACCUGUUUUUUCUUUGCCCUAAUAAUAGCAAUGAGAUGAUACACAUACACCAAUUUUGCUUCAUAUCUCUUCUGUUGUUACAUGGCGCAGUGCAAACUUAGCCCUAUUACAGCCAUAUUUCCUCCCCAUAUUGUUUUUUUUUUUUUUUUUAAAGAGAGAGAGAGAGGGAGAGAGAGAGAAUUUUUUUAGUAUUUAUUCUUUAGAUUUCGGCGGACACAACAUCUUUGUUUGUAUGUGAUGCUGAGGAUCGAACCUGGGCCGCACGCAUGCCAAGCGAGCGCGCUACCGCUUGAGCCACAUCCCCAGCCCCCAUAUUGUUUUUUGUUGUUGUUGUUUGUUUGUUUAUUUUGGGGGGGCAGGGGUUACUAGGGAUUGAACUCAAGGGCACUGGACCACUAAGCCACAUCCCCAGCCCUAUUUUAUAUUUUAUUUAGAGACAGGGUUGCUAAACACGUUGCUUUUGCUGAGACUGGUUUUGAACUAACCAUCUUCCUGUCUCAGCCUCCCAAGCACUGGGAUGUAGGUGUGUGCUACCUCACUCAGCUCCAAGUCCAGUGUUUUUUUUGUUGUUGUUUUGUUUUUUUAAGGUACUGGGGAUUGAACUCGGGGCCACUCAACCACUGAGCCACAUCCCCAGCCUUAUUUUCUAUUUUAUUUAGAAACAGGGUCUCAGUGAGUUGCUUAUUGCUUCACAGUUGCUGAGGCUGGCUUUGAACUUGCGAUUCUCCUAUCUCAGCCUCCCAUGCCACUGGGAUUACAGGUGUGUGCCAUUACGUCUGGCUACAAGUCCAAUUUUUAUCAUACCAAUUUUUAUAAAAUACAUAUUAGUUUCAGAAAAAUUAGAUUUAAUUAAGAGUUAGUCAUAUUUUUUUCUUUUUUUUUUUAAUUGUUAAAUUUUUCCCCCUUACAAUAGCCUCUAAAUUUGUAGGUCCACCCCAUACUGGUCCUAAAAGAUCUCUUGGAUUCUGUAAUGCCUCCUCUAAACACAGCUGUCUGCCUGAGCAGAUUUUUUUUUUUCAAAGCUCUGUUGUCCUCUGGUGGAUGAUUGACGAAUUGCAUUGUCCACUCUUCCACUUUUGGAGAUUUAGUUUCAUCUGAAGCCUGCAAUACCCUUUCACCGUUCCUAUGUUUAAAACUUUUUGUAAAUCCAAUUUGAGGGUCCCACUUAACGCUUUGAGAGUCUAUCUACUGCUGAAGAUUUUGUCCAGUUCAUGAUUUCAAACUGACUCCACCCCAUCUCCUUGUGGACAAAUUUGAUCUCGUUCUCUGGAGUCAUUAACUUGAAAUUGAAUGCUGUAGUAAAUUCUGCUGCAACCAAUGUCCAGCCUUCAACAGUGCAACACUUAUUAAAGGAAGUCUCAUAAUUCUCGUUGUUUUGUGUAAACAUAGAUAACGCCACUCCAUCCUCUGGAGUUCCUAGUGCUUUUACAGCACUCAGAUUGGAUCCUGAAGAGAAGGUAUUUUUUGGGGAUGUGGCUCAAGGGGUAGCGUGCUCGCCUGGCAUGUGUGCGGCCCAGGUUCGAUCCUCAGCACCACAUACAAACAGAGAAGGUAUUUUUUGUCCCACAGAUAAUGAGGCUUUUCCCUUCCAUCCAGUUUUCCAACUCACUUGCAAAUAUUGUAGCAUCAUAAAUCUCAAAAGGCAUUAAUUUCAGUGGUAUUGUUCAGAGUAACAAUGCCAAGUCCAUUUUCUUCCUUUUGCAGAUCCAACAUAUCUACCAGGAAACCACUAAAGCAUCACUUCUUCAUGAAAGCCAUGAGAUGUAAUAAAGUGAUACUGCCCCUCAGUGUAGUAGUUUUGUCCUUACAGAGAUGAUGGCUUCAAAAGACUUAUUAUUUUUAAGUUGGAACAAGGCUUUAAAGGUUUUCAGAAAUCAAAUAAGUGCUUUGAAGUUAGGCCUUUUUAUACUUUAAAAAAAUGUUAAAUGUGGUAUUUCUCCACCUUCCCUGAAAAGUUUUUCAGCACCCUCCUGUACCUCUGUAUAAACCACUCCUUUCCCAUUCCCAGGAGGGUACAUUGGGCUUCAGCUGCCAUCUAGCUGGGAAGCCUGGAGGCUCUCUGUGUGAGGGUCACUGGGAAAGGUGCUAACAUCCAUUCCACAACCACCUUCUGGGAUUCUCUUCCUUAUGACGCUUUUAAAAGUUAUGACCAGCUCUUAAAUAGAGCCCUGGAGGUCUCUGGGGUGACUUCCCUUUCUGCUUUCCUCGAUCAUCUUAAUUAAAAACAUCUCAGUUUCUCAUGUAGUUUUUCCUUUUGGGUUCUAGAAAAUAUACUUCACCUUGUUUGCUCAAGUUUGUGUUAUGUUUUUCAAUUUUAUCUAUAGAGUUAAUUUUAUCUUUUGAAAUAUAUCCUUCAGAUAUUUGUAAAAUUAAGGCCAUUUAAUUGAUUUAAUAAAGUCAGUUUGGUGCUGAUAGUGACAAGAAUGCUUGCCUGUCAUAUGCAAGGCCCUCAGCAUUGCAAAAAGAAAUAAUGAAAUCAAUUUGUCCCUCUAGUUUUUCUCCCAUCCCCAGUAGUGGGGAUUGAAUUCAGGGGUCUCUACAAGUAAACUACAUCCUCAGCCCUUUUUCUUGUUUGGAGAAAGGGUCUCACUAAAUCAUCUAUGCUACCCUCAACUUUAUAAUCCUCUUGUCUCAGUUUUCCAAGUGAGAUUACAUUCAUGUACCAUUGUGCCUGAUCACCCGAUAUAUUCUUCCUCUUAUUUUUUGUAAUUUUUUUUUCACAUCUACACUAUUUUUAUUUAUAUAUUUAUUUGAUUAAUUUGAAAAUUUGUUCUGUAGUGGAGGAAUAGUAUUUUUUUUGUUUGUUUGUUUGUUUUCUGUGGUGCUGGGGAUUGAACCCAGGGCCUUGUACAUGCAAGGCAAGCACUUUACCAACUGAGCUAUAUCCCCAGCCCAUGGAGAAAUAGUUUGUUUCUACAGUAGUUAAAAAUAUCUCUGUUAAUGAGUUUUUGCUGCUCUUACAUUUAUUUUUAUAGAUCGGGAUGAGGAAGAAAUGAACAAACGGGAUGACAAAAGAGAGAUCAACAGAUACUGCAAGGAAAGGCCUUCUAAAGAUAAGGUAUUUAUUGAAUAUUGUAUUCUUUAUAAUGUGAUGAUUUGUAUAUUUUACAUAAUUAAAUUUGAUUUUAAAAUAUAUCACAGUCAUGAAGUUUAUUAGUCUUCAUAUGCCUACAUACAACCACUUAGCAAAAUGCAGUUGAUGGGUUUUUGGUAUUUGGGACUGUCAUAUAACCAUUUUGUUUGAUUUUCUUUCUCUCAUAUUCAUAUAACAAAUGAACUUAUUUUAUUAGGAUGAAAUAAUGAUCUUUUAAGAUUGUUGCUAUUAUACUGACAUAAUUUCUUGUUUUUCAAUUGGAAAAAAGUAUAUACUAUCUUUUAUUUCUGUAUUUUUUUUAGGAAAAAGAAAAAACUCAGAUGAUCACAAUUAACAGGGAUCUAUUAAUGGCCUUUGUUUAUUUUGAUCAAAGCCAUUGUGGUUACCUUCUUGAAAAGGAUUUGGAAGAGAUACUCUAUACUCUUGGAUUACAUCUUUCUCGGGCUCAGGUAAUCUAUUCUGUGAAUUUAAAAUAAAAACCGUUUUUAUUACCAUUUUUUUUUUCUCCCUGUGCUGGGGAUAGAACCCAGGACUUGCUAAUGCAAGUGCUUUAGCACUGAAACUGCCUCUCCUGUAACUUUUCAAGAAGUUACUUUUUUUUGGUACCAGGGAUUGAACCCAGGGGUGCUUAACCAGUAAGUCACACCCCCAGCCUCCAGCCCUUUUUAUUUUUAUAUUGAGAUAGGGUCUCACUAAGUUGUUUAAGGCCUCACUAAGUUGCUGAGGUUGGCACUAAAUGGCCUCAGCCUCUUCAGUGAAUGGGAUUACAGGUGUGUAUCACCACGUUUGGCUAAGAAGUUACUUUUCAAAGAAAAUAUAAAUAGAAUAAGUUAAUGUAUUCAAUUCCAUAGGUAGGUGCUCAUUUUUUUUUACAUCUCUAUUGACUUUUUCAUUUAAAAGAAACAUAAUAGAUAUAAAUUGUAAGAGUCAAGCAAUACUGAAAUUUAUAAAGUAAAAAGGUUAAAAGCCCCUCUUUGCUCUUCUACUCCUCAGGUCCAGCACAUAACCUUCUAGAUUUUUUUGUAAUCAACUGUUUCAUUUUUAUAAACAUAAUAUGAAAUUAUGUUAUACAUAUUGAUGGAACUCUUUUAAAAUUUUCUAAUAUAUCCUGGACAUUUGUACCAUGAAAAUUCAGAUCUCAUUCUCAUAGCUGCAUAGUAUUCCAUUAUAUAGAUGUAUCAUUUAUGUAACUACUCCCUUAUUGCUUAUGGUUUUCAUAUUUUGGAAUUAUAAACUUAUGCUGUAAUAGACACCCCUUGUUACAUUUAUUUUAAUAUAUAUGUUAGUGUUUCUAAUAGUGUUACAAUUUUUUUUUUAAAUACUACGUUUUUUUAAAAGAAUAUUUUUAAAAUUUUUUGUUCAAUUUAAAACAUAUUUAUAUUUAUGUAUUUGACUUUGGGAGGAAAAAUUAAGUAGGGUUCACAAAAUUUUGAAGUAAAUUUGGAGAUUUUAGCAAGUGAUAAAAUAUCUACAAAAGUGUCCUGUGUCACAGUAUAUAUCUAAUAGCUCCAUAAAACAAAAACUUACAUUUCAGGCCAGGAAUUUUUAGGUUUCACCUCUUGCCAAUGUUUUUUCCCCCUCUAACUGGUGUAGUGUUACAAUUUUUAACAAUUAAAUUUAUUUUUCAAAUAUAACUUGGAUGUGAUUGAGUAGGAAUGGAUACCUGAGAAAGCAGUUUCCACAGAUGUUCUUCAUUUCUAAAAAUUAGAACACAGUUGUUCAAGGAAAAUCAAAACACAUUUUCAUCUUUUUAAUGUGUUUACUUGCUUAUAUUAUAGGUAAAGAAGCUUCUUAAUAAAGUAGUUCUCCGUGAAUCUUGCUUUUAUCGGAAAUUAACAGACACUUCAAAAGAUGAAGAAAACCAUGAAGAGUCUGAAUCAUUGCAGGAAGAUAUGUUAGGUUUGAGUAUAUUGAAAUCUUGCGUUUUUAUAAAUAUUCAUUAGUUUAAAAAAAAAAAUCUUACUAAAGUGUAUUGUCUUUUAUUAUAGGAAAUAGGUUGUUACUGCCAACACCAACAGUAAAGCAGGAAUCAAAGGAUGUGGAAGAAAAUGUAGGACUCAUUGUGUACAAUGGUGCAAUGGUUGAUGUAGGAAGCCUUUUGCAAAAAUUGGAAAAGAGUGAAAAAGUAAGGGCUGAAGUAGAACAGAAGCUGCAGUUACUAGAAGAAAAAACAGGUGAGGGACAAUAUGAAUAUGUUAGUACUUUUAAAGCUCUGUUUGUGUGUGUGUGCACGCACACACAUACCUCACAUUUUGCUUUGGACAGUGUAUAACUCUACUUUCAUCUGUUUCUAUUGGAGACAAUAAAAUCACUUAGUUUUGUAAGAAUUUUUCUUGUUCAAUGGGGUGUAGUGGGGCAUGCCUAUAACUAGAGAGGCCACUGUAGGAGGAUCACAAAUUUGAAGGCAGCUUAACAAGACCCUGUCUCAAAAGUAAAAAGGGCUGGGGAGGUAUCUUGGUGGAUAUUAGUUGUUCAUUCUCAGGUUCACUUGAUAUUCUGUUCUAUCCUUUCAGACCUCUGCUAGUUCCACUUACUUUUUAUUGGUUCCUAUUUUUGCUAGUUUGUUGCAGUCAUCUAAAAAUUGAAACUGGGUUUAGAAAUACUAGUAACUAAAACUUAAUUUCAAUAAAAACAGUAUUGCAUUGUGCUUUAGGUAACUAAUGAAGUUGGUAUUUAUGGGCAUUUUAAAGAAUUGCAUCUGCUUUUUAUUUUCAUAGCUUAAGUAUUUUUAACCUCAAGCUAUACUGGAAAUUAUAGGGGUUCAAGAGGUUUGUUUUGGACUUUUUUUUUUUAAUAGAUGAAGAUGAAAAAACCAUAUUAAAUUUGGAGAAUUCCAACAAAAGCCUCUCUGGUGAACUCAAAGAAGUUAAAAAGGACCUUAGUCAAUUACAGGAAAACUUAAAGGUUUCAGAAAACAUGAAUUUGCAAUUUGAAAACCAACUGAAUAAGACAAUCAGAAACUUGUCUACAGUAAUGGAUGAAAUCCACACUGUUCUCAGAAAGGUUUGAAAUUUUAUACUUUCAACAUUUUCAGAGUUUAUUUAAAUUUUAAAAACUAUUCAUAGCAUUUUUAAUGUACUUUAAUGUUAUUUUGCUCUUUGUAAAAGCUUUUCCUAGAAGCAAAUGAUAGCAUUCCAUCUUCUUGAAACUAGUCAAAAGUAAUUCCCCAAAGAUUAUAUUUUUCUAAAAUUUAAUGAUGAAUGUCAGUAUGGUUUAUGUGUACAGAUUUUUUUUGAGGUUGACCCCAAAUUUAUUUUUUUAUUCACACAGAUUUCAGAUAUGUUAUUGUAUUUAAUCAUCACAGUAUCCCUAUUAGUUAAGCAUUGUUUUAUUUUUUUUAAAUACACGACAGCAGAAUGCAUUUACAAUUCUUAUUACACAUAUAGAGCACAAUUUUUCAUAUCUUUGUAUAUAAAAUAUGUUCACACCUGUGUGUACAGAUUGUCUGAAGCAAAUGUUGAACUGGAGAUGUGGCUCAGUGAUAGAGUGUAUGCCUAGCAUUAUGUGAGGCCCUGUGAUUAGUCCCUAGCACCACAAAAUUUAUUUGUAUUUCUUUCUAAACCAAAGAGUAUUUUUGAAGUAAGAUAUGAAAUCAUUUGGUUCUUUUAAACCAUUUAUUGUGAGGCAGAAUUUAAGAAAAUUCUUUGGCAUCAGAUAUUAAUCGCUAUAAAAAUUUUAUAAUUGAAUUACAUUAUAAAAUACCUUCAAAUAACAUGUAAGAAAAUCUAAUAAAAUAUACCUUUUCCUUAUCUAUUAUUUUACAGGAUAAUGUAAAGAAUGAAGACAAAGAUCAGAAAUCUAAGGAGAAUGGUGCAAAUGUAUGAUAAAAUUUGUGUCGUGAUGAAAAAUGCUGUUAAAUAAUGUAAUAUAUAAAAAUCAUGAUACAAGAAUGUUUGAAGGUGAUGCAUGUUUUAGUAGUAUAAAUUCUGUUAGUUCAAAUGGUGUAUAAAGUUUUAUGAAUGUUGAGUCUGCUUUUGAAAAUUGCUUGUAAUUUCUAGCAUUCAAAUUAUUAAACACUCCUUGAGUGAAAUAAUUUUGCAUUGCAAAAUGUUUUAGGAUGAACUUUGUUAUAGUUUUAACCCCAAUAAAGUUCAUCAAUUUACUUGACAGUAGUAUUUAAUUACCAAAUGUCUUUUAUUAAAAUGCCUAAAUUUUUUUUUGUUUUUUAUGCAUAAAAGUUUUUUAUUUUAUUUAUAGAAUUAUCAUUAUUUACCUUUUAAUUUUGUAGUCCAUCUUUUAAAACUUCACUAUAAAUCAUAAAAUAGCAAGCUGCUUACUUUUUGGACCAGAAAUAUUUUUACUCUUCACCAAAAAUCCCCUCUAGUUAUCAAUAUCUAAAAACAUUGUUAAAAAUUCAGUUCACCCAAAAGACAGUUCAUUAAGAACUAAGAAAGCAGUAGACAACUGGUGUUGGUAUUUUGUUUGUUAGGCUUUACGUAAAAUUCAUAGACCUGAUGUUAAUGUUAACUGUUAACUGCUUUCAAUUAAUUGUUCUACUUUCCCAGAGUAGCACUUCUAUUACUUUUAAUUAUGAGGGUUUCUUUUUAAAAAAUUCAGUGUAUGUCAAAUGUACAGUUUAGUACCAAACCAAUAGAUGUCAGUAUGAUGCCUUAAGUUAAAUUUUUAAUUAAAAAUAAUUUUUUUUUCUUAGUCUGUGUAUGUACUUAAGAGUUUCAGAGGUGUUUAAGAGUUCAUGUAACUGUUGAGUGAAAAAAAGAAGGAAAUGUGAUGUACUCUGCAACAGUGGUUUUCAACAGGAUGUGAAUUUAUCCUUCAGAGGGCAUUUGGCAAUGUUUGGAGAUCUUUUUAAGCAAUUGGGUGGGGGGCUACUUGCAUCUAUUUGUUAGAGACUAAGAAUGCUGUAUAGGACAGUCCCCCACAAUGAGGAAUUAUUCAGUCCAAAAUGCCAGUAGUGCCCAAUUUGAAAAAUCCUGCACUUAAGGAAUAUAAGGUUAAACAACAUUUUGUCUUUAUAAAAUUAUACUUAGGGAAAACUUAGCUGAAUCUGUAGAUGAUUAUUUUUUUAUACUUACAAAACUCGAAGUGGAAUGUUUUGCUCUCAUAAAAAUAUAUGUUAUAUUAGAGUUUAUUUCAUUUUGUUUUACUCUUUCAUUUUGAUAGAAUAAUGGCCAGAUAUUCUAAAUAGGUGAAUAUGAGACUUAAUAUGUGACUUAAGUCAAAUGGAAUCCAUAUGGCUCUUACUGAGGUAUGGAUUAAAACUCUUCAAAUUCUUCAAACCACUUUUUGUCUUAAAUUGAUAUUUCUUCUCUUCAGGUCUAGUUGAACCUCUCCAAAGUCACUUUACUUCUUGAGCCAUAAUUAUAUCAUUAAUAUGUAAAUGUUUCUUCAUCGUUGAGAUGAGAUGAAACUGUAUAGGUUUUUUAGUUUGUUUUUUGGUACUAUAGGGAUUUAAACCAGGGUCGGAUUUUAUUUUCUUCUUGAGACAGGAUCUUGCUAGGUUUGCCCAGACUAGCCUCAAAACAUGGAAUCCUCCUGCCUCAGCCUCCCAAGUAGCUGGAAUUACAGGUGUGUGCCUCCAUGCCCAAUAAAUUAUAUGGAGUUUUUUAAAGCAAGCACUUUACCUCAGAGUUAUAUCCCCAGCUCUAUUUUAUUUUGAGACAGGGUCUUAAUACGUUUCCCAGGCUAGCCUUGAACUUAUAGUCCUCAUGCCUCUCCCUCCCAAAUUGCUAGGAUUAUGAGUUGAUAUUGUAGCUUGCCUACCCUGUGAGAAACUCUGGGUUCAACCCCUAGUACUGCAAUAAGAAAAAUGUGGUUUACCAAUCGGCUGAGAUUGCCAUAUGCCACUGCAGCUGAUAGGAAACUUUUAACUAAAAGAUAGUAAUGAUAGAUUUCCUGCAAAAGUAUAUUUUUAAAUGAAAGAUCAGGGCUGGGACAUGGCUUAGUGGUAGGUCACUUGGCUAGCUUACAUGAUGCCCUCAUUUAAAUCUCUAAUAAGAGAGAGAUCAUACAAAGGCCAACUAACAGCUUUUAUUUUUGUACAAUAAAUUUUAAAUAAGCAUAAGGUGGAUAUGAUGGAGGAAGAAUCUAAACCUUCCAAUUUUAUUUUUACUUACAGAUAUAAUUUCUUUUUUAAAAUGUAAUUUUUUAAGACACUAGGGAUUUAAUCCAGGAGUGCCCUACCACUGAGCUACAUCCCUAGCGCAUUUGUAUUUUUCUUUUGAGACAGGAUCUCACUAAAAUUUGACCAGACUGCCAAUUAAGUUUCUUGUAAAUGAGUGUCAUCCCCUGGAGUAACAAAGGGGUAGUCCUAGCAGAAGAGGUAAUUUGUGCUUCUCUUUCUCAAUGAAAUUGAUGAUGAACUGUCACAAGGAACAGUAAAUUACUUGGUAGAAAUAAUUCCGACAUCUCUUUUGUUGUUAAAUUAAAAUUUAAUUUCAUGAUUUGGUGCCAGACUGUUUGGAUAAGCAAAGUGUAGGCCAUGAUGUUUUGAAAAUAUUCAGUGAAGCCAUUAAAUAAAAAUUGAAAAUAACCCAAAGAGUUAAUGUUAUGGGAUAUGUAUCUUUCAGAAUAUUUGGAAUACAUUCUAUAAAAAAUUUGGAGAAAUGGAUAAGGGAAAAGAACUUAGUGUAGACUCAGUUAAAUGAUACUUAAAUCGCUUAUUGGAAUUGAAAAUAUCAGGUGGUUUUGGUAAUAAUCUAAUAAAACAUCUGAUUUUGGAUGACUCCAAUUUUUAUAGGUUUUUUCCUUUCUUUUUUGACACUAGUGAUUGAAUCCAAGUGUACGUAAUAUCUGGGCCACAUCCCUAGCUAGACCUUUUUUAGUUUUUAUUUUGAGACUAAGUUGCUGAUAACUAAUCUCAAACUCGCACUCCUUCUGUCUUAGCCUCCUGAGUCACCAGGAUUACAGGUAUGCACCAGCAGUUUUUUGGGUUUAUAGUUUGUUUUUUACAUAAUUGACCUCAACAGUUAAAAUUGUGUUCCAAAAUUGAAUUCCAAAAGUUGUGUCAAAAAUAAACAGAACUUUAU
rnacentral:lncRNA from 1 species